rnacentral:rRNA from 1 species
GCCAGACUCCUACGGGAGGCAGCAGUGAGGAAUAUUGGUCAAUGGCCGGAAGGCUGAACCAGCCAAGCCGCGUGAGGGAGGAAGGCGCAGAGCGUCGCAGACCUCUUUUGCCGGGGGACAAAAGGCCGGACUCGUCCGGUCCUGAGGGUACCCGGAGAAAAAGCAUCGGCUAACUCCGUGCCAGCAGCCGCGGUAAUACGGAGGAUGCGAGCGUUAUCCGGAUUUAUUGGGUUUAAAGGGUGCGUAGGCGGGCUGUGAAGUCAGCGGUAAAAGCCGGGGGCUCAACCCCGGCGAGCCGUUGAAACUGGCUGUCUUGAGAUGUCGAGAGGUAUGCGGAAUGCGCAGUGUAGCGGUGAAAUGCUUAGAUAUUGCGCAGAACUCCGAUUGCGAAGGCAGCAUACCGGCGGCGAUCUGACGCUGAGGCACGAAAGCGUGGGUAUCGAACAGGAUUAGAUACCCCAGUA